AGGAAAUACUACAUUUUGAUUUACCCAGCCAAGUGUCUGACCAGACAAUACCACUGCAGCAGAGAAACACCCGGGUUGUACUGGAAGAGCUGGAAAUCAUACAAAACAGUGUUUCCAAGCUAAUUGGGAUGUUUAAAGGAGCUAAUGUAUGGCAAUUAAUUAUUAGCUAUGUCUAAUCGUGCAUCUUGUUUCACAGACAGAAGAAAUUCAAGAAAGUCUGGAGAACAAAGUUUUCCUUGGCGACAAAAUUUUUGGAGUAAAAGUUCCAUAUAUCAGCCUUUUGGAGUCUGAGCAAAGUGCCUCAAACAGGCAGGCACUGUCAAGAAAUCUUUUAGACUGCCUGUUCAACAAGCAGGAGCAAGCAGCUCAAACAGCUUAUGGAAGUGCCACGAAAAAGGCAAUCGAUAGUAAUAUGCUUAGAGCUAUAAGAAGUCAUUGUUUCAAGAAGUAUCCGUCAGAUACCGAGAAGGCUGACUGGGUGAUUAAAACCAUAACAGAUAAAUGCCAUGAUCAAAGCAAAUGGUUUAAAUGACUAUUCAUUAAUGAAACAUAUUCUAUAUAUUUAUCGAUUUCUGUUCUAUUUUUACUGUAUGUAUUUAUGGUAUUGUAUGGUUUGUUUUGGUAUAAUUAUAUUCUGGUGCUAUGUAACAUAAAAUGGUUAUAUUCUGAAUCAUGAGUGCUGCUAUAUGUAUAUAGGCUAUCCAUAUUUCGUACUUUAUUUCCAUAAUGUAUAUGCUAUCCUUUA